rnacentral:rRNA from 1 species
GAACGAUGAAGCUCUAGCUUGCUAGAGUGGAUUAGUGGCGCACGGGUGAGUAAUGCAUAGAUAACAUGCCCUUUAGUCUAGGAUAGCCAUUGGAAACGAUGAUUAAUACUGGAUACUCCUUACGAGGGAAAGUUUUUCGCUAAAGGAUUGGUCUAUGUCCUAUCAGCUUGUUGGUGAGGUAAUGGCUCACCAAGGCUAUGACGGGUAUCCGGCCUGAGAGGGUGAACGGACACACUGGAACUGAGACACGGUCCAGACUCCUACGGGAGGCAGCAGUAGGGAAUAUUGCUCAAUGGGGGAAACCCUGAAGCAGCAACGCCGCGUGGAGGAUGAAGGUUUUCGGAUUGUAAACUCCUUUUGUUAGAGAAGAUAAUGACGGUAUCUAACGAAUAAGCACCGGCUAACUCCGUGCCAGCAGCCGCGGUAAUACGGAGGGUGCAAGCGUUACUCGGAAUCACUGGGCGUAAAGAGCGCGUAGGCGGGAUAGCAAGUCAGAUGUGAAAUCCUGUGGCUUAACCAUAGAACUGCAUUUGAAACUGUUAUUCUAGAGUAUGGGAGAGGUAGGUGGAAUUCUUGGUGUAGGGGUAAAAUCCGUAGAGAUCAAGAGGAAUACUCAUUGCGAAGGCGACCUGCUAGAACAUAACUGACGCUGAUGCGCGAAAGCGUGGGGAGCAAACAGGAUUAGAUACCCUGGUAGUCCACGCCCUAAACGAUGAAUGCUAGUUGUUGUGGAGCUUGUCUCUGCAGUAAUGCAGCUAACGCAUUAAGCAUUCCGCCUGGGGAGUACGGUCGCAAGAUUAAAACUCAAAGGAAUAGACGGGGACCCGCACAAGCGGUGGAGCAUGUGGUUUAAUUCGAAGAUACACGAAGAACCUUACCUAGGCUUGACAUUGAUAGAAUCCGCUAGAGAUAGUGGAGUGCUAGCUUGCUAGAACUUGAAAACAGGUGCUGCACGGCUGUCGUCAGCUCGUGUCGUGAGAUGUUGGGUUAAGUCCCGCAACGAGCGCAACCCUCGUCCUUAGUUGCUAACUAUUCGGUAGAGCACUCUAAGGAGACUGCCUUCGCAAGGAGGAGGAAGGUGAGGAUGACGUCAAGUCAUCAUGGCCCUUACGCCUAGGGCUACACACGUGCUACAAUGGGAAGCACAAAGAGAUGCAAUAUUGUGAAAUGGAGCAAAUCUAUAAAACUUCUCUCAGUUCGGAUUGUAGUCUGCAACUCGACUACAUGAAGCUGGAAUCGCUAGUAAU